AACCCUAUCAAAAUUUGAAAAUUUGGGAAAACCCAUAAAAUGAAAGUUGUAGAUAAUUGAAAUACCUUUCCAACCAUAGGUCAUGGGCUUAUAUACGACAUCGGAAUAAAAAGUUAUGGACAUUGCAAGGCAAAAGGGUCAAGAUAGGAAGAAAAUUUGGCCCAACCCGAUUCCAAAUCGGGUCAGCCCAUAUUUAUUUCCAUGUAAGAGAUAAGUUCAGCCUUAUCUCUUUCCUUUCAUCCAAAAUAUUUCCAGAACACCAUAGAAAUAUAGAGAGAUAGAGAGAGAGUGAAUUAAAAUCCAUUUUUGACCCAAAUUCGAGUUCCGAUUUCAAAAGCUCAUGAAGAGAAAAACGUUGCACGUUGCGUUGUCUUCAUUUUGAGCUAAAAAUCAGAGAAGAAGGAGUGUAUUAAGGUGGUUGACUUAUACUUCAAGGUGAUAUGCAAGGCGGGAUAUGAAGAUGGUCAUGUGGAGUAGACUUUUUGGGAGCUCUUUUGAAGAUCACAUAUGCAUAUACAUCUAGUUUUUAUAUAUUAUUUUGGGGACUUGUACAUGAUACAUGUGUGACACUUAUGUACAAAAUUUUUAAAGGCUUGUAACUUAAACCAUGUGACUAAUUUUGUUAUUUUAGAGUGUGCUUUUAACUCAAGUAAUGCAAUAUACUAGGUCAUAUUUUGACUUGUCAUUAUGCACGAAGGAAUAUAA